ACACCAAGGACAGAGCUUUACACUUGGACACUAGCAGCAGCCUGAGCUUUGACCCACACCCUAUCGACCAACUGGCACUGAACUGUUUGCUUACAGAGGGGGUGGCACUCUGAAAGCUACUCAGCACGCUCCUGCCCUUUCCCUGCCAAGUCUGUGACACUUUUCAACUUAAGGCCGACAGAGCAAGGCACCCAGAUUUUCUACAGCAGUCUCCCAAAAGAGCGGUAGGUUAAACCUGGAGCCCUUCUGUAACAUGCUCAGAUUCAACAUCUUUAUGUUUCCUCAGAACCAGAGUUGGAAGAGUUAAGAAUCUAUGCUUCUAAAGGACUCCCAGUCUUUACAACUCAGUCAUGGGCGGGCACCAUGAAAGAAUGUGCGGGAUCAGAGGCCUUUUCCAUUCCGCGAGGGCCACGCGGGACCCGUGGAAGUCACCAGGAGGCAAUCUGGGGGCUGUGGGGGUCGGCUUGGGGCUAGUGGAGGUCACUAAGGGUCAAAAGCCAACUGUGAGCGCUACCGGGUGUCUACUGGAAGCCGGUGGGAGAGACAGGCUGGGGAAAGGGAGGGCGGCGAAGAUCAAGGGCUGGCAGAGCCGUGGGCGGUCGCGGAGAUCCCAGGGCGGGACGUGCUCGUACAGGUGCUAGCGUCGGCGAAGGGCCGGUCAGUGUGGACGCCGGAGCUCAGGCCUUGGUGCCAGGCUGGGAGGCUCUCCCCUCAGACCCCGGGGGAGCCAGCCCACCAGCCCUUCCUGGGAUUUGCCUGUCUGUUUUCUUCUUCCCCGGCAGGUACCCGCGCUGAGCUGUGAGCCCGCGCGUGCAGGCUGCAGAGUCUGCUGCCUCCCGGCCCAGCUCAGACUAGUCCCAUGCACCACACGCAGUUUGGUGCGACCCCCUCACUGUUGUUUCCAGGCCGACCUGGGCACUCCCGAUAGUUUUCCGUCUACUUAACUGUAAUUAGUAAUCUGGCGGGAGGCUAUAGAGAUACAGGGUGCCAAGGCUGAAGAACCCUGUGUUUGGAGAAGCGGGGCGCUACUACACAUCAGUCUCGGAUAAAAGGCAGACCAGAAUCCGGGUGCGUCCCCGACUCACGCCCGAGGAAGGGAGUGAGUAGCCCGAGAACCCCGAGUGGACAGUGCGCCUCCCGGGUUCCCCACACAGUAGCAGAGGAACACGGAGACCGGAUAGAGUGGAAAGCGGCCGCUGUGCUCAACCCCUCUCCCGACAGCCCACCCCUGGCCAGCCUCCUGGGCCCCGCCCCCACGAUAAGCCAGGAAUGCCAAAUAUUUGCUCUGGGAACCCAGCGAAACGGUGAGGCGAAGCCCCUCCCUUGCCCCCUCCGGUUCCGGAGCGUGCCUGCGUCAGGACGGGCUUUCCGGUGGGACACGCCCUUCCAAGUAGUUCCUUCUACCGGUCAGCCCCUCGUCCUGGCUGUUUAAACGGAAAGGCCGGCUGCACGCACCGGUUCCGUGAGGCGGAGCCCCGGCGUCCCUGCACGGCGAUCUCGGUGCUACUGGAACAGUUGUCUACUCCCGGCGAGGCUUUCCCGUUCGCUCGCCGACUCUCGGGAGCGCUGUGAGAUCCCUUGCUGUCCUGAGCCCGCUGGAAAGAAGCUGCUGCGCCCAGGUUCCCACUAGUGAACCCGAAGCACCGGGCUGGCAGAACUGCACGGCUCCGUCCAGGUCUGGUGCGCUCAUCCAGCCAUUCCCCAUAGUAAAAAUAUUCCAGACCCUCACA